ensembl:lncRNA
CCACCCCAUAACCCCCCAUAACCCCUUGGCCCCAUAACCUUCCACCCCAUAACAACCCCAUAACCCCUUGGCCCCAUAACCCCUUGGCCCCAACCCCCCCUCCCAUAACCCCUUGGCCCCAUAACCUUCCACCCCAUAACCAUGGGAGCUGUGGGGCCCGGGGGGGUCCUCAUCUUCAUCAUCCUCAUCAUCAGCCCCGGUAAUGGGGUCGGGGGUUCUUAUAGGGUUGGGGGUCCUUAUGGGGUCAGGGGUCCUUUGGGGUCCAUUGGGGUUCUUAUGGGGUUGGGGGUCCUUUAUGGGGUCCAUUGGGGUUCUUAUGGGGUUGGGGGUCCUUUGAGGUCCAUUGGGGUUCUUAUGGGGUCAGGGGUCCUUAUGGGGUCAGAGGUCCUCAUGGGGUGGGAGGUUCUUAUGGGGUUGGGGGUCCUUUAUGGGGUCAGAGGGCCUCAUGGGGUGGGAGGUUCUUAUGGGGUUGGGGGUCCUUUGGGGUCCAUUGGGGUUCUUAUGGGGUUGAGGGUCCUUUAUGGGGUCAGGGGUCCUUUGGGGUGGGAGGUUCUUAUGGGGUUGGGGGUCCCUUAUGGGACUUGGGGUUCUUAUAGGGUCGGGGGUCGCUGUGGUGGAAGUGAGCCCAUUGGGUCCCUAUGGGGUUGGGGUUCUUUUGGGGAUGGGGUCUUUGUUGGGACCCUAUGGGGUGGGGAGUCCCUAUGGGGUCGGAUCCCAUUGUGGUGGGGGUCCCAUUGGGGUCUCUAUGGGGUCCCUAUGGAGUCGGGGUCUCUAUGGGGGUCCUAUUGCGAUCCCUAUAGGUUGGGGGUCUCUAUGGGGUUCCUAUGAGGUCCCUAUGGAGUCUCUAUGGGGUGGGGGUCCCUAUGGGAUCAGAUCCCAUUGUGUGUGGGGUCCCUAUGGGGUCCCUAUAGCGUCUCCACGGGGUCCCUAUGGGGUGGGAGUCCAUUUCAGGUCCCUAUGGGGUUGGGGUCUCUAUGGGGUGGGUGUCUCUAUGGCCUGGGGGUCUCUAUGGGGUCCCUAUGGGAUGGAGGUCUCUAUGGGGUCUCUAUGGGGUCCCUAUGGGGUGGGGGUCCAUUUCAGCUCCCUAUGAGGUUGGGGUCCCGAUGGGGUUGGGGUCCCUAUGGGAUGGAGGUCUCUAUGGGGUCCCUAUGGGGUGGGGGUCCAUUUCAGCUCCCUAUGGGGUCCCUAUGGGGUGGGGGUCCAUUUCAGCUCCCUAUGGGGUCCCUAUGGGGUUGGGGUCCCUAUGGGGUCCCUAUGGGGUGGGGGUCCCUAUGGGGUCCCUAUGGGGUUCGGGUCCCUAUGGGGUCCCUAUGGGGUUGGUGUCCCUAUGGGGUCCCUAUGGGGUGGGGGUCCAUUUCAGCUCCCUAUGGGGUCCCUAUGGGGUUGGGGUCCCUAUGGGGUCCCUAUGGGGUCCCUACGGGGUCCCUAUGGGGUUGGGGUCCCUAUGGGGUCCCUAUGGGGUUCGGGUCCCUAUGGAGUCCCUAUGGGGUUGGGGUCCCUAUGGGGUCCCUAUGGGGUGGGGGUCCAUUUCAGCUCCCUAUGGGCUCCCUAUGGGGUCCCUAUGGGGUCCCUAUGGGGUUGGGGUCCCUAUGGGGUCCCUAUGGGGUGGGGGUCCCUAUGUGUGUCCCCCGCGGUCCCUAUAGGCUCCCAUUAUACCCCCCUCCCCCUUCCCCCCCCCCCCCCCCAAAGCUCCCCACAGGUCCUCCUGCCCCUCAUUGGCGGUGGGUCCGUCGGUCCUCCAGGCCGCUGUGGGGCGCUGCGCCCUCUUCCCGUGCCGUUACCGCCUGUGCCCCGCCGCCCCCCCCGGCGUCCGCCCCACACUGCGGUGGCUGCGGGACCCCAUUUUCAGCCGCCCCUAUGGGGACUUCCGCGGCCCUUUAUUGGCCUCCAGCGACCCGCGGAGCGCCACGAGGGGGCGGUUGGUGGCGCCCCCCGGCGGCGCGGAGGGGGAUUGCAGUAUGGCGCUGCCGGCGGUGACGGUGGAGGACGCGGGGAAUUAUGGGAUGCGGCUGUUGGCCAACGCGACGCGGCGGCAGCCGGAUUGGAGGUGGCUGUAUAACGUCAGACUCAACGUCAGCGCGUCCCCCCCCCCUCCCCUGCUGUCCCCAGCUCCGACCCCCCUCCCGGAGGGUCUCUCCGUAACCCUGACCUGUUGGACCCCCCCGGGAUGCCCGGAUGAAGCCCCCCCCAUCCUGACAUGGGAAGGGGCUGCAGCGGAACGAAAGGGGACUCAGACGGUUCCCACCACCCCCCCCCGCCCCCCCCCGCAACGAAGGGAACGACGACGACCCCCUCCUCCUCCCCCCCUUCUCUCCCCCGACGGCCGACCGUGGGGGGGGGUCGCGGUGGCUCUGAAGUUCGUCCCCACGUGGGAUCUGGACGGAACCGCCCUGCGCUGCAACCGCCGCGACCCCCGAGAGGGGGGGUUUGGGGGGGGGAGGUGUGGAGCGAAAGGAAGCUCAGGGUGUUGU